rnacentral:rRNA from 1 species
GUGGGGAAUAUUGGGCAAUGGGCGAAAGCCUGACCCAGCGACGCCGCGUGGGGGAAGAAGUCCCUCGGGAUGUAAACCCUUGUUGUACGGGACGAAGGAAGUGACGGUACCGUACGAGGAAGCCCCGGCAAACUACGUGCCAGCAGCCGCGGUAAUACGUAGGGGGCGAGCGUUGUCCGGAAUCACUGGGCGUAAAGCGCACGUAGGCGGGCUGGUAAGUCGGCCGUGAAAGGCACUGGCUCAACCGGUGUUUGUCGGUCGAUACUGGCGGUCUGGAGUAUGGGAGAGGGAACUGGAAUUCCCGGUGUAGCGGUGAAAUGCGGAGAUAUCGGGAGGAACACCAGUGGCGAAGGCGGGUUCCUGGCCCAUGACUGACGCUGAGGUGCGAAAGCCGGGGGAGCGAACGGGAUUAGAAACCCUAGUAGUCC